GACGAACGCUGGCGGCGUGCUUAACACAUGCAAGUCGAGCGGUAAGGCCCUUUCGGGGGUACACGAGCGGCGAACGGGUGAGUAACACGUGGGUAACCUGCCCUCAGCUCUGGGAUAAGCCCGGGAAACUGGGUCUAAUACCGGAUAUGACCUCGUAUCGCAUGGUGGCGGGGUGGAAAGUGUUCAGUGGCUGAGGAUGGGCCCGCGGCCUAUCAGCUUGGUUGGUGGGGUGANGGCCUACCAAGGCGACGACGGGUAGCCGGCCUGAGAGGGCGACCGGCCACACUGGGACUGAGAUACGGCCCAGACUCCUACGGGAGGCAGCAGUGGGGAAUCUUGCGCAAUGGGCGAAAGCCUGACGCAGCGACGCCGCGUGAGGGAUGACGGCCU
rnacentral:rRNA from 1 species